rnacentral:rRNA from 1 species
UACAGAGGUCUCAAGCGUUGUUCGGAUUCAUUGGGCGUAAAGGGUGCGUAGGUGGCGCGGUAAGUCGGGUGUGAAAUCUCGGAGCUUAACUCCGAAAUUGCAUCGAUACUGCCGUGCUUGAGGACUGGAGAGGAGACUGGAAUUCAUGGUGUAGCAGUGAAAUGCGUAGAGAUCAUGAGGAAGACCGUGGCGAAGGCGGGUCUCUGGA